AUCAGGUGGUUCUAUACAUUCUAUGCAUUUAUAGAACCCACUCUAAACUCUGUUGCUCAUGGCAAAUUUCAAAUUAUAUUUUCCAUGUCAUGAUAUCAGAAUAUGAGGAAAGUAUUAGGACACUACACUUAAAGGAACAUUAUAGUUGUAUUCCUAACACUAUAAUACCCAUGUCCCUAGUUCUUUAUAGGCCCCCCACGUGUAUAAUGUAAAUGAAUAAAAAAAUCAGAUUUAUUUGCCAAUUUCCAGCACUGAGUCUUGCUCGGACUCUUGCAACAUCAUGGAGGUGGCAUAAGUACCAACAUGUGAAAAAAACAAAAAAGGGACACUUUAAUUUUAGAGGUAUAAUAGGGGGUAAG